GUAGGUGAACCUGCGGAAGGAUCAUUACCAUAUCCAAAACUUUACCAACCCACCGUGUGAACUGUUUUGUGUUGGGUGUUGCAGCCCGACCUAUAUAUAUUUACCAACCACGAUUUUUUUUCUCGUGGCCGUCCAACCGCCGCGAGAAAGCUUCUUUGGGGUUGGUAAAUUGAAUAACCCCUUUGUAAAACCACUCUUGAAUGAAAACCUGACUUGUGGGGUUCUUUUGUUUUACAAAAAGACCACACGA
rnacentral:misc_RNA from 1 species